AUACGGAGGGUGCAAGCGUUACUCGGAAUCACUGGGCGUAAAGCGCGCGCAGGCGGCUAUUUAAGUUGGAUGUGAAAGCCUACGGCUCAACCGUAGAACUGCAUCCAAAACUAUUAGACUAGAGUGUGGGAGAGGAAGAUGGAAUUAGUUGUGUAGGGGUAAAAUCCGUAGAGAUAACUAGGAAUACCAAAAGCGAAGGCAAUCUUCUGGAACACUGCUGACGCUGAGGCGCGAAAGCGUGGGGAGCAAACAGGAUUAGAAACCCUAGUAGUCC
rnacentral:rRNA from 1 species